GGGUCACAUGUCCCCAGGAGGCCUGGUGAGCCGCAGGGCCCGACAGGGAGCCCGGGCUGAAGCCUCUGCAGAGAGGGCCCCUAGCCUCCCAUUCCAGGACCCUCCUCCAGGCCCCCUCCCGGAGGCGCGCUCCGCUCCAGCUCCGCCCCGCCCCCAGGGGGAGCUCGCGCCCUGGCCUCGGAGCCAGCCGCGUGCGGGCGGGAGUGCGCGGGUUUCCUACGGAGGUGGAAGCUGUGUGUGAGCUGCGCCCCGCAGCCCGCUCUCCCGCUCCAUUCUUCCCGCAGCCCCCCCUGCUCCAACCAGGUGACUGGGGGCUCAGCGGACCCGCCCUGCCGCCCGGAAUGGAGCGGGUCCCCAUGGAGCCCAAACUCCCUGCUCCACCUCUCUUCCCGCUGCCGCCGCCAAGCCGCUCCGAGCCCGAGGGAGAUGGCAACCCCCAUCCUUGUGCACGCCGUUGGACAGACUCCGCGCCGGAGCCCCGUCUGCCCUGGGCUGCCAGAGGUCUCCACAUCCUCCUCCUCCCUACUCUACCUGAGCUUCUUCCUCAUCUGCGGGACCCUGUGCCAAGGAACCUACCCAAAUCCAGGGAUUGGGUUGGUGUCGGAUGGGGUGAAUGUCCUGGCGACUUUGAGACAGUCCUACCUGCAAGGUAAAGGAGUUAGGAAAUCAUACUGGCCUGCUCCCUGAAACAUUGGCAAGAAACUGGAAAAAGAGGCUAAUAUGGAGAGGGAAGAAGUUUGGCAAGAUCUUUGGAGAGAAAAAGGACAGAGCUGAGCAAAUCUGCCCGCCAAAAUAUCACCCCUUUUCCAUGCUCCAUUCACAACCACCAGCCCAUUUUUCCACAUGACAAUCCUCUGCAGUCCAGAAGCUUGAAAAUUACAAGCCCAAGAUUCAAGACACAUGUUUCUUGUCCAGAGUCCUGCCUGUCUAGAAACAAAGAUAAAUCAGACCUCAGAGAAUCCGUCAAGCACUAUAUCCACUGGGCCCCCUAACCAGACUAGAAGUGCCCCAGUACAUUCUGAAGGGACACCUAUCACCUAUGUCCCCUGUGUGAGGUGAGGUGAUUUUGGAUGGAGUGACAACGACCCAGUGUCAGCAACCCUUCAUCUCUGGGCGUGUCUAUGGGGUUCUGCCAAACUUACCUCCACUGCAUCUCAGACUGAAGGUUCAGGGAGCUGCAGAUGGGCUCUGCCUGUGCUCUGGCACCGUCUGGUGUCCAUGCGCUCUAACAUUAACUCUCAGCUCUUCCGCCAGUUCCCUCAGUAGCCCUCUGGGCUGCACUGGCCUUGGACACCUGCCAGCUUGAUUUUCUUCCUCCUCUCCCUCUCAGUGCACUGAAGUGCCCUAUAGACCAGGGUAUUUCUCAAAGUCUCCUAGAGCGCUCACCACAACCCAAUACAGUAAAACUUGUUGGGUCCCCACCGUUGGGUCCUGAGAGCCCUCUUAUAUCAAUCCCCCUGCCUCAGUUCAUGAUACUGCCUUUAGGUCUGCUUCCUGCAAUAGAGGUAAGAUACAUGGGAAAAAAAGGCUCAAUGGACAGAAAAGAAGGAAGUUUAUGGAGAUGUCUUGAGAGAAAAUUCACAGUGAUUUGCAUAGCUGCCAACCAAAAUAUUACAACUUUUACAUGCUACAUUUAUGAAUAACAUCCCUUAUUUGUACAUGAUACACUCACAGAGGCCUUAGGCUUGAAACUACAAGCCCAAGAUUCAAGACAGAUGUUUCUGGGUCCUGAGUUGUGCCUCUCCUGAAACAAGGGAAGUCUGGCCCCAGAGAACCUAUCAAACUCUCUGGCCCUUGGGCCACAUGACCAGGCUGGAAAUACCCAUCAGAUUUUGAAGCCACAGGCAUGUCCCCACACUGAGGUGAGAAAAUUCUGGGCCAGAGAGUCAGAGGCACCCUGUAACCAAACCCUACAACUCUGGGCACAUCCUGAGUGUUCCACCAACUCAUCUUCAACCACAUCUCUAAGCUGGAGGUGUGUCCAGGAAGCUGCAGGUAUACGUUUCUGCUGCUCUGGCACCAUCUGGCGGCCAUCAGCUCUAACAUCAACUCUCAGCCCUUCAUUCUGUUUUCCCUCAGCUGUUCCCUGGGGCUGUUCUGGCUUUAGAUCUCUGCCAGCUUGAUGUUCUUUCUCUCAUCCUCUAAGCUUAAUGAAGUGCCCUACAGACUGGGCCGUUUCUCUUUCAAAGUCUCCCAGAGCACUCAUGCCAACCUACCCUAUCAAUACAUUAAAACCCUCUGCUUCCCCA
rnacentral:lncRNA from 9 species